CCUACGGGAGGCAGCAGUGGGGAAUAUUGCACAAUGGGGGAAACCCUGAUGCAGCGACGCCGCGUGAGUGAAGAAGUAUUUCGGUAUGUAAAGCUCUAUCAGCAGGGAAGAAAAAAGACGGUAUCUGACUAUGAAGCCCCGGCUAACUACGUGCCAGCAGCCGCGGUAAUACGUGGGGGGCAAGCGUUAUUCGGAAUUACUGGGUGUAAAGGGAGCGUAGACGGUGGGGUAAGUCAGAAGUGAAAGGCACGGGCUUAACCCCUGAACUGCUUUGGAUACUGGCAUGCUAGAGUGCUGGAGAGGUAAGUGGAAUUCCUAGUGUAGCGGUGAAAUGCGUAGAUAUUAGGAGGAACACCAGUGGCGAAGGCGGCUUACUGGACAGUAACUGACGUUGAGGCGCGAAAGCGUGGGGAGCAAACAGGAUUAGAUACCCUGGUAGUC
rnacentral:rRNA from 1 species